rnacentral:rRNA from 1 species
CACGUAGUUAGCCGUGGCUUUCUGAUUAGGUACCGUCAAGAUGUGCACAGUUACUUACACAUUUGUUCUUCCCUAAUAGCAGAGUUUUACGAGCCGAAACCCUUCAUCACUCACGCGGCGUUGCUCCGUCAGGCUUUCGCCCAUUGCGGAAGAUUCCCUACUGCUGCCUCCCGUAGGAGUCUGGACCGUGUCUCAGUUCCAGUGUGGCCGAUCACCCUCUCAGGUCGGCUACGUAUCGUCGCCUUGGUAAGCCGUUACCUUACCAACUAGCUAAUACGGCGCGGGUCCAUCUAUAAGUGAUAGCAAAACCAUCUUUCACUUUAGAACCAUGCGGUUCUAAAUGUUAUCCGGUAUUAGCUCCGGUUUCCCGAAGUUAUCCCAGUCUUAUAGGUAGGUUACCCACGUGUUACUCACCCGUCCGCCGCUAACUUCAAAGGAGCAAGCUCCUUAUCUGUUCGCUCGACUUGCAUGUAUUAGGCACGCCGCCAGCGUUCAUCCUGAGCCAGGAUCAAACUCU